GUUGGAAUCAAGGUGUAGCGCCACCACAAUACCCGUCCACAUCGGGAAAGAACAUCCACCUAUACGGCGCAAAAGUGUGACUUCCUUAGCGGAGCCUGAAACCCCUGAGGGCGGCCCAUGUGUAUGGCAGCGGAAGUCUUUCGCCAGGGUAACAUGCCAGAACAACUCCAUCGCCUCUAAACAACCUUCACCUCUAAAACAAAGAAACCUACGUUUGACGCACUAUGUCCUCAUACGAUUUUGUUCCUGCUACAACUCUGCACUUUGUUUUACAUUACCAAAAUAACCAUACCAGCCAUUACCAUAUCCGUGGUGCACUGCGUGUUCAACCAGUUCAACUUGCUCUGGGCAUCCUGUAAAGCCUUAUGUAACCCAAUAGUAUAAGGUGGCAAUGAAGCAGGCGAGCUGGUGUCGAUAGUUUGUGUCCCUCAG